CUCCCCCUCCCGCGCCCGCCUCUCUCCCUCUCCCUCCCGCGCCCCUCCCUGCCCCGCCGCCGCCGGCCGCCGCUCCCCGCACUCGCUCCUCCUCCCCCCGCAUCUCCCUUCCUCCCACGCAGCCGCCUCUCUCCCUCGCUCGCUCCUCAUCUGGCGACAGCGGCGGCUCCCGCGCCCGCAUUCUUCCUCCUACCAACCACGGCGCUCCUCCCCAUCGCCAUGGACGAGCUUGAGCUCCAGGUGCUCCUUCUCUGCCCAGAAGCCCAAGGGCGUUGCGGGGCGGCAAGGGGCUCAGCCUCAACCCGCCAACCCUAGCUGCCCCCACGCCGCCGCCGGCUCCUUCUCCCGGCCUGCCGGAUCCCGUCGUCCGCAUCCCCGGCGUCGUCGCCGUUGCCGUCGUCCUCGCGUGCACUCGGCAGGAGAAGUGCGGCUCUCCUCUUAGCCCGUCUCAGUUCUCUCUUGCUCUCUCAGUCCCCUUUCUGCCUGGUUCUUGCCACUGAUGCGCCACCUCCUGGUUCAUCAUGAAGGUACUUCAUGGCAGCGCUGUGGACAGCAUCACCGUAACCACAUUGAUGGUCCAAGUCCCAGCUCACAACAUCACUUUUUAGUUCUGCUGUGAGCACCUCAACAGCUCAACGUCAGCUAUUAUUGAUGUAGCUGCAUAUAGUCAUUCUAUGAUCUAUUUUGGCUACCAUCAUUUUUAGGUGGGCCGUGAGCACCUCAACCACUCAAUAUGAUCUAUACCAUGAUUUCUGAAAUGAGUUGUUUAUGUUAAUCUUUGCUUGUGCUUCUUAUUACAUAGUGAUAAAGUGUCUUCUAUUUAUGUACUCUUCCUCACAAUCCCAGUUAUCCAUGUUUAUGUACAUGUCUUCUGUCUCUGAUCUGCAGGUUGUUAUGCUGGUUUUCUCUAAGCUUGAAAUAUACGUAGCCUAUAUAUCUACAAAAAGGGAUCAAGAACUAUAUGUGGGCUACUCAUUAUAGUCGCUAUCGAUAUUAACUCUUUUGCAUGUUUGCAUCUGAAUCAAUCAUCUGCUCUCUACUAAAUGUAUGUGAGCUACUCAUUUGGUUAUAUAUGAGCUACUCAUUUGCUUAUACUGUGUAAAUAGGAAUCAAUAAUAAAAGUAUAUGGUACAAAGCUGUGCCCCCUAGCUUUUUUCCCAUUGGUCUUGCUAAGCAAGUUAAUGUAUAUCUUCAUUUAUAUAGCAUCUCUACCGUUCUAAUAUGUUUAGCUAUAUAUGUUCACUUGGUCCCUUAGUUACUUCCUCGGCCCUCUUGGCUGCCACCGAAUAGAUUUUUAUAUUUUUGUAUAUCUUGCUCAGCGUCCUAUGCUCCAUAUAAGCUUUCCUAUAUAUUUAUAAAUUUUCAUCUGCAUUAAAGUGAUACAUAUAUGUGAUGAUUUCUGACUUGACUUAUGCUAGGAUUAAUCCUGCAGCAAUCGGUAUAGUCAGUGUUGUCUGGAUGUGUUGUACCAUAUUAGAUUAUGUGUUCUGCCCAGCAGGGAUUAUUUAUCGAUGCUUCUUGGUGUAUCUAGAGAGUCUGAUUAGAGAGAAGUCAGUUCACAUCUCAGUGGCUUUUGUUGUUUAAUUUACACAACAUGUGCAGGUUCAUAUAGCAGUAUGCAUGUGUGAAUAUAAACUCUUCAUGCAAUGUGGCAGUAAAAGGCCUUUCGAUUUUACCUUAGGCACUACAGGCAGCUAAUAGAUAGGCCCAUUGCUUGCAUGAUGAUAAGUUUUGAACUGACGGUGUUCUUGACAAUAGUUGCAUCAGUGCACACGAGGUCCAAAGAAGCGUUGUUUCAUGUUUCAUUUACUUUUCUAUUGCAAUCACUCAUCCAAAAAGAAUAUUCAGUGCACCUGUAAAACAUCUAACAAAAAUAAUCAUAGACCCUUCUUUCUAAAUCAGAAUAUAACAGUACUAAAUCAGCUAGAUGGGUUGUAGAUGCUUUAUUACUCCUUGUUGAGUGAUAACCAGGGCGGCUCCAUUGUAUAAACAGAUUGAUGUGGUGAUAAGAGAUGAGGCGGGUAGGUUAUAUGAUCGAGGAAAGCUGAAUCUGAGCCCACUAUGCAAUGAACCCUGAACCCUUUUUAUUUGUAUUUAAAGGUGUUGCUUAUUUAUGCUCCAGUGUUUAUAGCCGUCUUAUGUAAGGAUUUCUUCUCUCUCAUACCUUUAUUGCAUAUGAGUUGUUCUUGAUCUUUUAUUGUUUGUUGGGGGCUUUCUUGUUUUGUUGGGGGCUUUCUUGUUUUGUUGGUGCCUUACCGUCAAGCAGAUCCUUGGAUUUAGCUAGGUUAUCUGUUUCAUUGCUUGGUUUUUUGCCUGUUAAAGAGAAGCUUAGGUCUAUAUGGAUUCCUGAGGUAAUAUCCAUUGUUUCUCAUAGUUUAGUUACAACUGAUUUCCGAGUUCUAACUCAUUCAUGUUAUUUCAUUAUUUCUCCUCUUUGUACCGCUAUUUAUUUCAAAUUCUGAAAUAAGGAUGGCCUUGGUGGCUGUAUUUACUUGCGCUUUGUUUAUAUAUGAUUGGUAUUAGAUUCUUUGAGAAAAUUUGUUGUUACAUUAGUGGUCUAGCUAGAUUGCAAGAAAGGGGCUGUAUCUUCCCUUUCGGUGCUCAGCGGGAGGAGUGCGCUCGCUGCCAGCCCUGACGAGAGGUGUCGCCGCCCUGGUCAGAUUUGGCUGCCUCCACCACCACCCACUUACAGGAGGCCCCUGCCACUCCUCCUCCAUCGCAUGGUCAUCACUGGGAGGAGGAGCAGCUCUGCCUAGAGGCAUCGCCAUCGGCUAGAGGGCGUCAGACUCUCGUCCUUGCGUUCAUGCACCUCCGGGAAGAAGAAGACCCGAGGUAAGCAGCCUCCAAUUUGCCGUGCGAAUUGAGCAGGGUUGGAUCCAAGAGGCAGAGAUGCAGUCCUCCAGAGCUGUUGGGAAGAAGAAGAAGAAGAAGAAGAAGAAGAAGAAUUGCAAAGGAUGGCGAGAUUGAGCAUCUGAAGUAAAGCUCAGACCUGCACAUGUCCAAGUGUCAGUCGCUUGAAUUGAUUGGGCAGAGGGACAUAGAUAUAAGAGAGAAGGAUGGUGUCAUUCAGAGCUACCAUUAUAAGACAGAUGGGGAGCUGAUGAACCCAGGGUCCUGACAGAUAUACCUCAUCUUCCCAGCGGACAACACCUUCCUCGAGGAGGACGACUCCAACUACUUCAGCUAUCUCGGCUGUCCUGGCCUUUUAUGAAAGAUAAAUCAAUGAUUUAUGUCAGCACAAGCUACCGGCAGCUUCCUCGCGUGCAAUGCUAUUUGAAGACCAUUCAAGUGAUUUAAAAGAGAAGAUGUCCAGAAUGUCUAAGAAGAUUGAAGAUGACGAUCAAAAGAUUGACAUAUUAAGCGAUUGCCAAGAUGUGAAUAAUGCUUGCCCCUGCCUUUAGUAAUACCUUGCUCUUCUUUACGAAAUCUUUCCUAUUACAUAUUGAUGCAACAACUUGCAAAUUUUGAUAUCCCUAUUUACAUACAUUACUCAACGGCUGACCUGUACAGAGUUGCGUGGCAGGCAUGUGUUCUCAGCCAUCUUAUCAAUUGUAGGCUUAGCAUAAUUUGCUUCGUCUAACAAUUCCUUUGUUUGUCCAUAUCGAUUCUGAUUUUAGAGGACACAUGUUUUGGUAGGAA